rnacentral:ncRNA from 1 species
AUGGAGUACGGGCACACCAAAGGAAACUUUGGGUCGCAAAGCUACGGGUCUACGGGUUUGACCUAUGAUCGCCGGGUUGCUAUA